UUUAAUAUGGCAGAUUAGUGCAAUGGAUUUAAGCCCCAUAUAUAAAGAAUUUUACUUUUAUUAAAA
rnacentral:tRNA from 1 species